rnacentral:rRNA from 1 species
CGCCUGUUUAUCAAAAACAUGGCUCCUUGAAUUUUAAUAAUAAGGAGUCGGACCUGCCCAGUGAAUUUUUCAACGGCCGCGGUACUCUGACCGUGCAAAGGUAGCAUAAUCAUUUGCCUUAUAAUUGAAGGCUAGUAUGAAUGGUUUGACAAGAAUGAAGCUGUCUCUUUAUAAUUUAAUAGAAUUUUAUUUUUAGGUGAAGAAGCCUAAAUAAAAUUAAAAGACAAGAAGACCCUAUCGAGCUUAAAAGGAAUUAAUAGAAUUAAUUAAUUAAUAUUUAUAAAAAGUUGUCUAUUAAAUAUUUUAGUUGGGGCGACUGAGGAACAUAAAAAGCUUCCUUUAAAUAAAAUCUACUAGAAUCAAACUAGAAUUGAUCCAAAAUAUUUUGAUUAAAGAAAUUAGUUACCGUAGGGAUAACAGCAUUAUCUUUUUUAAGAGCUCAUAUCGAAAAAAAGGUUUGUGACCUCGAUGUUGGACCAGAAUAUCCUAAAGAUGCAGCAGUCUUUAAGGGUUGGUCUGUUCGACCAUUAAAAUUCUACGUGAUCUGAGUUCGGACCGG